rnacentral:lncRNA from 1 species
CGACCAAGAGCCAUAAAUGAUAACAAAAAUCACCAGAUCCAAGCAAGCACAUGAGUCUCAGAUACUUAACAAGUUACCACCACGCUCAACAACGAAGAUGGUUCUUGAAUGGAAGACGUAAAAUCAACUCUAAUGCCGACUAGAAGAAUCAAAGAAGAAAAGAAAGAUGGAGGAAGCUGUCACAGUCAAGUACCAAACUAGAGCCAGGAGAUCUGAGCAUCAAUGGUAGAAGUCAAAAGCAUCGGACGAAGGAUCCUAUUUCCAGUGAUGACUAUGGCAGAACUGUAAGAUGUGACACCAUAUGGACCACGAAACACAAGCAUACUGUACACGGUCCUUCCCAGAAAACAUUUGCUGGUCCUGAACUAGACCAUGGAGAAAUACCAAGAUGCAGUUUUUCUAAACUCAAAGUUGGAGGAAAGUACAUACACUGAGCUGAGAAACACCUGGAAGUAUCAUCUUUAAAGGCACCGGUCAGGGGAAGCUUGGCUGAGGAGAAACAGAGAUGUGUCUGAUACAUUGAGAGCAAGAAUGAGGAAGUUCCUGGAACAGUAAUCACAAAGACAACCAAGAGUGACCUGGUGCCCCGAAACUGAUGCAGGAAAGGCUGCAGCGCAUUACCGAGUCGGGUCUUGUCUACUCAGAAGCAUGCCAUAUUCCAACGCAGCAGUUAGAAACUCUUUGAAGUCUGUUUUAGCCGUCUGUUCUUUUAAAUUGUCAGUAAUAUAAACACAGCAAUCAACACACA